rnacentral:misc_RNA from 1 species
GUCCCGAACGAGAAAAUUCCGUGCAAGCUGAUUUCCAAAACUUCAAUCUCACACGAUGUGCGUGUGUUCAGAUUCGAACUUCCCGGUGGUCAGGAUCAGGUACUCGGGCUGCCCGUGGGUAAGCACAUUUUCGUAUGCGCCAAAGUGGACGGGAAGCUAUGCAUGAGAGCCUACACGCCCUCUAGCCCCAUAGACCAAAUGGGCUACUUCGAAUUAGUGGUCAAAGUGUACUUCAAAAACGUGCACCCCAAGUUCCCCAACGGCGGGAUCAUGUCCCAGUAUUUGGACAAUAUGGAAG